rnacentral:rRNA from 1 species
AUUGAACGCUGGCGGCAGGCUUAACACAUGCAAGUCGAGCGAGCGGCGGACGGGUGAGUAAUGUCUGGGAAACUGCCUGAUGGAGGGGGAUAACUACUGGAAACGGUAGCUAAUACCGCAUACCAUCAGAUGUACCCAGAUGGGAUUAGCUAGUAGGUGGGGUAAUGGCUCACCUAGGCGACGAUCCCUAGCUGGUCUGAGAGGAUGACCAGCCACACUGGAACUGAGACACGGCCCAGACUCCUACGGGAGGCAGCAGUGGGGAAUAUUGCACAAUGGGCGCAAGCCUGAUGCAGCCAUGCCGCGUGUAUGAAGAAGGCCUUCGGGUUGUAAAGCACUUUCAGCGAGGAGGCGUUACUCGCAGAAGAAGCACCGGCUAACUCCGUGCCAGCAGCCGCGGUAAUUC